rnacentral:tRNA from 1 species
GUGGGCGACGUUCCCCGGGGGGUUCAAUUCCCCCCUCCG